AAGAAAAGUUCAGCACCAUCAGAGAGAAACAAGACAGAGAGAAUUCAUAGAAUGGCUUUAGGGCCUUUCCUCCAGGCGGAGGGAGGACGGCAGCUGUGGGUAAAGCCCGAAGGAGGAAUGCCUGAAGGUAAGGGGAAGCCCGGGGCAGACCCGCUGCCCGCUCCGGACCCCACUCUCCACCUUCCGGUAACCGCGUCUCUUACCGGUAAUGGUGGUGAACUGUUGAAUUAACCCCUUCAGCGCCGAGGACGCCGCGGAGCCCCCGUGGGCAGCCAUCUUACCGCCGCCGCCGCCGCCGAACAACAACACAGACACACACGGACUGCCCUCCCCCACUUCGCCGUGCGGUGUGCGCAGGCGCAUUGACCGCCCCUCGAGCCCCGCCCCUCCCGUCCCCAGCGGUCUGC
rnacentral:lncRNA from 1 species